rnacentral:rRNA from 1 species
CCUACGGGCGGCAGCAGUGGGGAAUAUUGGGCAAUGGGCGCAAGCCUGACCCAGCAACGCCGCGUGAAGGAAGAAGGCUUUCGGGUUGUAAACUUCUUUUCUCAGGGACGAAGCAAGUGACGGUACCUGAGGAAUAAGCCACGGCUAACUACGGGCCAGCAGCCGCGGUAAUACGUAGGUGGCAAGCGUUAUCCGGAUUUACUGGGUGUAAAGGGCGCGUAGGCGGGAAAGCAAGUCAGAUGUGAAAACCAUGGGCUCAACCUGUGGCUUGCAUUUGAAACUGUUUUUCUUGAGUACUGGAGAGGCAGACGGAAUUCCUAGUGUAGCGGUGAAAUGCGUAGAUAUUAGGAGGAACACCAGUGGCGAAGGCGGCUUACUGGACUGUAACUGACGUUGAGGCUCGAAAGCGUGGGGAGCAAACAGGAUUAGAUACCCUGGUAGUC